AUGUUUUGGAAUUUUUGUCAGAAUUUUCGAAAUCCUCUGGUUUUAUCCUUUUAAAUGUCUUAAAAAAAUUUGCCCAUGGACCCCCAUUUUUCUUUUUAUAAAUCUUUUACAUGUAUAAUUAUAAGCCAUUUGUAAAAGUCUUAUAAAAUCUUAUUUAUUUUUUAAUAGUUUUUGAGAACUUUAACUGGUCAAUGAAAAAGCUAUGAAAAAUCAAGAGAGAACAUUUUCACGUCAAAAU
rnacentral:lncRNA from 1 species